GUAUUGCAUUGCGUUAAACGCGACAUACAUUCCAUGAGACUUUGUUACGGCGUGUGUGUGUAAAAACGUAGGACCACAGCAAGGGGACGGGGUCCCCAAGGCCAUAGAACUACAGAGGGUGCACAGGUGUGAGUGGAUGUGCAAACAGAGCGUGCACGUGCCCCCUUUCGAGGGCCAGCAACAGCUCGUGUCGACGGUUCGGUAAUGAUCCUUCCGCAGGUUCACCUACGGAAA
rnacentral:misc_RNA from 1 species